ACUGAGGUGGUGUAAUGGUUAGCAUUUCUGCCUAGAAAGCAAGAAGACCCGGGUUCGAGUCCCGGCCUCAUCA